rnacentral:lncRNA from 1 species
GGUUGUUCUUCUGGAAAUCCUUUCAGGCAGGAAAGCAGUUGACACUUCAAAAGCUGCAGCAGAGCAGAGUCUGGUUGCAUGGGUAAGCAGCAGAAAUAAAGCACCUGUUGACUCGGAACUAAGAAGAUAUUUUGAAAAGAGUACUGAGUUUAUAUAACUUAUGCAAAUGUUACAUUAAUCUUGACUUCAUGGCAGGCAAGACCACUGUUCCAAGACCGAACAAGACACUCACUCAUUGCUGAUCCAGAGCUUCAAGGUCAAUAUCCUCCUAGGGGCUUCUAUCAAGCUCUUGCUGUUGCAGCAAUGUGUGUCCAUGAGCAGCCUGAUAUGCGACCGGUCAUUGCUGAUGUGGUCACUGCCUUGGCUUACCUUGCUUCUCAAAAGUAUGAAUCUGACGCAGAGAAGGUCCAAAGCCCUUGCCUGGACCCUGGUACUC